rnacentral:rRNA from 1 species
AACGAACGCUGGCGGCAGGCCUAACACAUGCAAGUCGAACGCGAACGGUCCUUCGGGACUUAUUAGAGUGGCGGACGGGUGAGUAACUCGUGGGAAUAUGCCUUUCGGUACGGAACAACGCCUGGAAACGGGUGCUAAUACCGUAUACGCCCCCUGGGGGAAAGAUUUAUCGCCGAAAGAUUAGCCCGCGCUGGAUUAGCUAGAUGGUGAGGUAAUGGCUCACCAUGGCGACGAUCCAUAGCUGGUUUGAGAGGAUGAUCAGCCACACUGGGACUGAGACACGGCCCAG